rfam:Brassica napus, WGS project CCCW01000000 data, contig: 2814
GCACCAGCGGUCUAGUGGUAGAAUAGUACCCUGCCACGGUACAGAGCCGGGUUCGAUUCCAGGCUGGUGCA